rnacentral:lncRNA from 1 species
CUUCAGACUGCAAGAUUUUUUAAUGAAAUGCCUCAUUUGUACUUUUCCAGAUUUAAAGGCAAAUUAUGAAGGCUCUUUGAAGAUUUACAUGUGUUUUACCAGGAAAGGUUUGUCUAACUGGGAACUGCAGACACGGCUGACAUCAACUUACUACUGCCUUAGCUGUGGAUUAAGCUGUAAAGGACUCCAUUCUCUGAAGCUGUACUGGAAACUUGUGGGACUGAUGUAUGGCCCCAUUUGAUCAGCCUGGCUCUGCCUCCAGAGAACAGAAAGCAUGAGAGCAAAACCCAAGGAGCUGUGGACUUCCCCUCUUAACAGAAAGGACAUUUUUCAGGUAAGAUAAAUUUUCCUAUAUUGCCCUAUAAAUCAUAAGAAAAAAAAC